AGAACGAACGCUGGCGGCAUGCCUAACACAUGCAAGUCGAACGCCUGUGGCAAUACAGGAGUGGCGCACGGGUGAGUAACGCGUGGGAACCUACCCUGGAGUGGGGGAUAACCGAGAGAAAUUUCGGCUAAUACCGCAUACGACCUGAGGGUGAAAGAUUUAUCGCUCUAGGAGGGGCCCGCGUCGGAUUAGCUAGUUGGUGGGGUAACGGCCUACCAAGGCAACGAUCCGUAGCUGGUCUGAGAGGAUGAUCAGCCACACUGGGACUGAGACACGGCCCAGACUCCUACGGGAGGCAGCAGUGGGGAAUAUUGGACAAUGGGGGCAACCCUGAUCCAGCAAUGCCGCGUGAGUGAUGAAGGCCUUAGGGUUGUAAAGCUCGUUUCGGCGGGGACGAUGAUGACGGUACCGCAGAGAAGCCCCGGCUAACUUCGUGCCAGCAGCCGC
rnacentral:rRNA from 1 species